AUGGAGAGCAGUCAGACCGAGAACCUCACAGACACUAAACAGGAUGACGAUGCGCGCCAAAGCAAACAGGAAGAUGAGGAGGCUCGCAUUGAAGAAUACAAAAGACUAAUGGAUCAAAAGAUUGCCCUUCGCCGAAACAAUCAAAAUCCUGAGAGACCAGAUGCAAACUACCUGAGGACUCUUGACUCAAGUAUUAAACGAAAUACAACAGUCAUAAAGAAGCUCAAAACAAUAAAUGAUGAACAAAAGGAUGGAUUAAUGGAUGAGUUGAAAAGUGUGAACUUGAGCAAAUUUGUCAGUGAAGCAGUUUCUUAUAUUUGCGAGGCUAAACUUCGUUCUGCUGAUAUACAAGCUGCAGUUCAGGUUUGCUCAUUGCUUCAUCAAAGAUACAAGGACUUCUCUCCUUGCCUUAUACAAGGUUUACUGAAGGUCUUCGUGCCUGGUAAAUCUGGAGAUGAUUUGGAUACAGACAAAAACUCAAGAGCUAUGAAGAAGAGAAGCACCCUGAAACUACUGAUUGAACUGUACUUUGUUGGAAUAGUUGAAGAUGCUAGUAUCUUUGUAAACAUUAUAAAAGAUCUUACAUCACUGGAGCAUUUGAAGGACCGGGAAGCAACUCAGACAAAUCUGUCUCUUCUCUCUUCCUUUGUUCGUCAAGGGAGGUUAUUUAUAGGGUUACGGUCUCAUGGUCAUGAAUCUUAUGAUGAGUUCUUUAAGGACUUAAAUGUUACUGCUGAUCAGAAGAAAUUCUUCAAGAAAGCCUUGAACUCUUACUAUGAUGCUGUGUCUGAACUACUACAAUCAGAAAAUGCGUCUCUUCGUCUGAUGGAGGCAGAGAAUGCAAAAGUUUUAAGUGCCAAAGGUGAAUUAAGUGAUGAGAACACAGCUUCAUAUGAGAAGCUCCGAAAGUCUUUUGAUCAGUUACUACGUGGUGUAUCCUCGUUAGCUGAAGCUAUUGACUUGCAGCCUCCGGUGAUGCCAGAUGAUGGGAAUACAACAAGGGUUACUACUGGAACUGAUGUCACCCCCUCUUCGGGAAAAGAACCAUCUGUGCUGGAACCUAUUUGGGAUGAUGACGAUACCAAGACUUUUUAUGAAUCUUUACCUGAUCUAAGAGCAUUUGUACCUGCUGUCUUAUUGGGAGAGGCUGAACAGAAGUUGAAUGAGCAACAUGCUAAGGGCCGUGAACAAUCUAGUGAGUCGAAUGCGGAACAAGAGACUGAAGUGCAUGAUAAUGCUCAGACUUCUUCUGCCACUGAAGAUCAACUUGAGGGAAAGGCAGAUGAUGUAGCGAAAGAUAGUGAAGAAAAAGAAAAGGACAAGGGAAAAGAGGCAGAAAAAUCGAAAGAGAAGGAUUUGGACAGGAAAACUGAAAAAGAUAAAGAGAAAGUAAGAGCCUUGGAUGGUGGAAGUUUGGACAACCUGCUACAGAGGUUGCCAGGAUGUGUGAGCCGUGAUCUUAUUGAUCAAUUGACGGUUGAGUUUUGCUACCUGAAUUCUAAAGCAAGCCGGAAAAAACUUGUGCGGGCCUUAUUCAGUGUUCCAAGGACUUCUCUGGAGCUUUUACCUUAUUAUUCUCGAAUGAUUGCCACAUUGUCAUCAUGUAUGAAAGAUGUCCCUACUAUGCUUCUCCCCAUGCUCGAAGAGGAGUUCAACUUCUUAAUAAAUAAAAAGGAUCAGAUCAACAUUGAAACAAAAAUAAAGAAUAUAAGAUUUAUUGGAGAAUUGUGCAAAUUCAAAAUUGCACCAGCGGCUCUUGUUUUUAGUUGUUUGAAGGCGUGCCUAGAUGAUUUCAGUCAUCAUAAUAUUGACGUGGCCUGCAACCUUCUUGAGACAUGCGGACGUUUUUUAUAUCGUUCACCUGAAACUACAAUCCGCAUGGCUAACAUGCUGGAGAUACUGAUGCGAUUGAAAAAUGUUAAGAAUCUGGAUCCGCGCCACAGUACACUUGUAGAAAAUGCCUACUACCUUUGUAAACCACCUGAAAGAUCUGCGAGAGUUUCAAAAGUUCGCCCACCUUUGUAUCAAUACAUAAGGAAGCUGCUUUUCUCAGAUCUCGACAAAUCAAGUGUUGAGCAUGUUCUUCGCCAGUUACGAAAGCUACCUUGGGUAGAGUGCCAGCAAUACCUUGUAAAGUGCUUUCUAAAGGUUCACAAGGGAAAGUACAGCCAAGUUCACCUGAUUGCUCUUCUCACUGCUGGGCUUAGCCGUUAUCAUGAUGACUUUGCUGUUGCAGUGGUAGAUGAGGUUUUAGAAGAGAUAAGGGUUGGGUUGGAGUUGAAUGACUAUGCGAUGCAACAAAGACGACUUGCACACAUGCGAUUUCUUGGGGAGCUGUACAGCUACAAGCAUAUUGACUCCUCAGUUGUAUUUGAGACAUUAUACCUUAUCAUUAUGUUUGGUCAUGGGACUUAUGAACAAGAUGUGUUGGAUCCACCAGAAGAUUGCUUCAGGAUCAGGUUGAUCAUAACACUUCUGCAGACUUGUGGCCACUAUUUCACUAGAGGCUCAUCCAAAAGAAAGCUUGACAAGUUCUUGCUACAUUUUCAAAGAUACAUUAUUAUGAAAGGCCCCUUACCACUUGACAUAGAGUUUGACAUUCAGGAUUUGUUUGCUGAGCUACGACCAAACAUGACCAGAUAUUCAUCAAUAGAUGAACUUAACUCUGCAUUAGCUGAACUCGAAGAACACGAGCGUGCGGCCUCAGUAGAGAAACCUGAGAGUGAAAGGCACUCGGACAAUGAAUCUCAGAAAAGGCAGCCACAUGAUGAUGGCAGGGGUUCAGCGAAUGGAGCCGAGGGAAAUGGUAAGGAUCAUGGAGAAGGCGCAGAUAGUGAGAGCUAUUCAGAUAGUGGCAGCAUUGGUGGUCAUGAAGAUGAAGAAGAUCUUCUGUCUGAGGAGAAAUCAAAUGAUGCAUCGGAGAACGAAGGUGAUGAUGAGGACGAUGGGAUGCCUGUUGGUUCUGAUGAAGAUGAGGGUGUUGAGGUUAGGCAAAAGGUUGUGCAGGUUGAUCCCAAGGAGCAAGAAGACUUUGACCGAGAGCUGAAAGCCCUUCUACAGGAGAGUUUGGAGUCACGUAAAUCGGAGGUGCGUUCCAGGUCCAGUUUGAACAUGAAGGUACCAAUGAAUGUCCUUGAAGGUUCAAAGGAUGCAAGGGCUGUGGAGUCAGAGAGUGGAGAAGAAACUGUGGAUGAAGAGGGUGGUAAUGCUGGUGGUGGCAGCAAGGUGCGUGUUAAGGUGCUAAUGAAGAAAGGGCACAAGCAACAGACGAAGCAGAUGUUCGUCCCUGGCGACUGCUCUCUUGUACAGAGCACAAAGCAGCAAGAAGCUGCCGAGCUUGAGGAGAAGCAGAACAUUAAGCGGAGGAUCCUUGAAUACAACGAGAGGGAGGAGGAAGAAAUGAAUGGCGGAUCGUCACAAAUGGGGAACUGGGGCCAAGGAGGGAGCAAUACCGGUAGCAGUAUUAGAUCAGGUGGGCGGGGCAAUUGGGAUGGUUGGAUCAGGGGAGGCGCUCGGCGUCACCAUGCCGCUGGUGGUUUCUACCAAGGAUAUGGCAGGAGAAGAUGA
rnacentral:rRNA from 1 species